GGGUACUCGAGUGGCGAACGGGUGAGUAACACGUGGGUGAUCUGCCCUGCACUUUGGGAUAAGACCUGGGAAACUGGGUCUAAUACCGAAUAGGACCACGCGCUUCAUGGUGAUGUGGUGGAAAGCUUUUGCGGUGUGGGAUGGGCCCGCGGCCUAUCAGCUUGUUGGUGGGGUAGAUGGCCUACCAAGGCGACGACGGGUAGCCGGCCUGAGAGGGUGACUGCGGCCACACUGGGACUGAGAUACGGCCCAGACUCCUACGGGAGGCAGCAGUGGGGAAAUUGCACAAUGGGCGCAAGCCUGAUGCAGCGACGCCGCGUGAGGGAUGACGGCCUUUCGGGUUGUAAACCUCUUUCAAUAGGGACGAAGCGCAAGUGACGGUACCUAUAGAAGAAGCACCGGCCAACUACGUGCCAGCAGCCGCGGUAAUACGUAGGGUGCGAGCGUUGUCCGGAAUUACUGGGCGUAAAGAGCUCGUAGGUGGUUUGUCGCGUUGUUCGUGAAAACUCACAGCUUAACUGUGGGCGUGCGGGCGAUACGGGCAGACUAGAGUACUGCAGGGGAGACUGGAAUUCCUGGUGUAGCGGUGGAAUGCGCAGAUAUCAGGAGGAACACCGGUGGCGAAGGCGGGUCUCUGGGCAGUAACUGACGCUGAGGAGCGAAAGCGUGGGGAGCGAACAGGAUUAGAUACCCUGGUAGUCCACGCCGUAAACGGUGGGUACUAGGUGUGGGUUCCUUCCUUGGGAUCCGUGCCGUAGCUAACGCAUUAAGUACCCCGCCUGGGGAGUACGGCCGCAAGGCUAAAACUCAAAGGAAUUGACGGGGGCCCGCACAAGCGGCGGAGCAUGUGGAUUAAUUCGAUGCAACGCGAAGAACCUUACCUGGGUUUGACAUGCACAGGACGCCGGCAGAGAUGUCGGUUCCCUUGUGGCCUGUGUGCAGGUGGUGCAUGGCUGUCGUCAGCUCGUGUCGUGAGAUGUUGGGUUAAGUCCCGCAACGAGCGCAACCCUUGUCCUAUGUUGCCAGCGGGUUAUGCCGGGGACUCGUAGGAGACUGCCGGGGUCAACUCGGAGGAAGGUGGGGAUGACGUCAAGUCAUCAUGCCCCUUAUGUCCAGGGCUUCACACAUGCUACAAUGGCCGGUACAAAGGGCUGCGAUGCCGUGAGGUGGAGCGAAUCCUUUCAAAGCCGGUCUCAGUUCGGAUCGGGGUCUGCAACUCGACCCCGUGAAGUCGGAGUCGCUAGUAAUCGCAGAUCAGCAACGCUGCGGUGAAUACGUUCCCGGGCCUUGUACACACCGCCCGUCACGUCAUGAAAGUCGGUAACACCCGAAGCC
rnacentral:rRNA from 1 species